CGCACUCGGGAGUCUUUCAAGGUAAAUUUCAUCUGUUUUUAUUGAGCAAUUACAAAUUCACAGUGUGUGUGUGUGUGUGUGUGUGUGUGUGUGUGUGUAUAUAUAUAUAUAUAUAUAUAUAAUUUUUUAUUGGGGUAGCCCCCAAAAUAUUGGGACAUAUAAAAAGAAAACAACUCUGUUCCGCAGAGUAUCUGACAUUAUAGUUGCGCAGGAACUUUGUUGACUCUAGAGAACCUCGGGCCAAUCGCACAUCUCCGUUGCGGUGACUCUGCAUGCGGAUGUCAUCCAUAUCAACUUUCGAUGCCAGUUUCUGCGCCUGCCGUGGUGACCAUGGGGAAUCAGGGUUCCAUUCCGUACAGGGACCCUGAGAAACUGCUACCACAUGCAAGGAAGGCAGCAGGCGCGCAAAUGACCCACUCCCGACGCGGGAAGGUAGUGACGACAAAUAACAAUACAGGACUCUAUAGAGGCCCUGUAAUUGUAAUGAGUCAAUUUGAAUCCUUUAACUCUGAUUUAAUUGGAGGGAAGUCUGGUGCAAAGCCACUGACCCGCGCGUGCUGCAGCCGAAACUCCACUAUCGCCUGAUGCUGUUCGCGCAGUCUCAUGAGGCGGUGAGCGGGAAGGCUGAAGUUACGCUGCAGCGCAGACAGGCGAGCAGCUGCACGGUGACCACUCCAAAAGCGCG